rnacentral:lncRNA from 1 species
GCCUUUAUUUAAACUCUUUUGCAAUAUCAAAGUAGAAUCGCAACUGGUCCUCUAAUAAGGUCUCAGUUGUUCUAGAAGAACAGAAAACGAAAAGAAAAAAAAAUUAGUAUUUAAUCAUUUAUUGCAUUGUAUCAUUUCUAAGAAAGAAGAGGACCAUGUUCUCCAACGAUGGGGGAGAUUCUUGGGAACGAAUAAGAUCCAUUGCGCCAUUGGUCUUUUUCUCUUUUAUUUUAGAAGUCAAAUUCCAACACGUCUCUCCAGUUUCUUUAUUCCAAUAGAAAUCGACGCACGCACGAAGAAAGAUGUUCUUGCCUGCGCCUGGUGUACGGUGGUGCACGCUAUUAUCAAACGGGAAUUAACAUUGGCAAAGGAAUAUCUACUAUUACCAAAAAAAAAAAACAUUAUAUGGGUAUAUUUGUUUAUGUGAAAGCGAGAAGGAGAGAAGCAAUUUUAAGCUCACCAUGUUAAUUUUUAUUAUUUAAUUCUAAAUUUCUCGAAAUACUGUAAUUGGCUACGACCUACCUCGUGUUCAAGGCAAUUAUGAAAAAAAAAAAGAGAGAAAAUUAAAAACUUAUAUAUUAACAAUUGAAAAUUUUAGCUUUUACCUCAUUUACUUUCCACCAAAUAAAUAAUAGAACUAGAGAAACUUCAGUUUCAUACCUAUAAAAAUAAAUAGUAAAAGAAAAGUAAUUUUCAUUUGAACUCUAAUUCGCUCGAAAAUCUAGCUCAACCUGAACUUCACUUUCAGUGAAAUAAACAUGUCCUAUACUAACCAUAUUUUCAACUUUUUUCUUACUCGAAUAAUAAUAAAUAUGCUUUGUCAAUAUCAAUUUUUUUUUUAAAAAAAAUAAGAGUGAAAAAUUCAAAAUUAAAAUCUAAUUGGCUGGAUAUAUUUUAUGACUAAUUGGUUACAUAACAAUAUAAAAAAAUUUUAGAAAUCUAAGUCUUCUUGCUAGAAUAACAUUUCUUUUUAUACAAUUAAUAUAUUAAGCUAUUUGAUGUGUAAAAUUGUGUCUGUAAUUACAAAUAGAUUAUUUUAUAUGUAGUGAGAAAAUGUAAUAAAAAGAAUAUUUAUUCAUUUUAUAAAUAUUAAUACAUCAAACAAAUUAUAUUGACUUAGUUAAAAUAUAAUUUUGCAGUCCAAAAUAAAAAGAGUAGAGCAUACCUCGUGGUUCCAACCCCUAACACAACAGCAAUAGGGAAUUUUCCAGAAAAUAUAUUAAUUUAUUUAACUAUAAUCUAUAAUGUAAAUCAUAUGUAUUAAAUUAAAUUUUAAUUUUAACAUUCUGAUCAUCAAAUUCAAAGAUUUACUUCGGAAUUGCAUUUUUAAAAAUACCUGUUUUUAUGAUUUGUAACGUCUAAAAAAAUUUAAGUAUAUGUUUAACAUUUUUAUCCCAGUAUUAUAUAAUUAUAGUGGCAAUAAGAUAUAUACGUAUAAAAAAAAAAAAAAAAAACUUUAUUGUAUGUAGUUUUUCAUUGACCUAUCGUUGAGGACGAGCGAUCUAUUGUCACAUUUAAUUUUAUCUUUAUUAAAAAAUUAUAAUUUUUCUUUCUAAAAUCUAUUUUUUUAAAAAUUUUAGUAUUAAAAAUUAUUCAUUAAUUUUAAAUAAAAAUAAAAUUAAUAUAAAACAGUUAAUCAAAGGUUACAGAGAGAGCUUUUCACUGAAAUUUUAUAUAAAACAUAUAUCCUAAAUAAAUAUAUUUAUAUGUACGCGUGGUGCAUGCAAUAAUUUCUCAGCGAAUAGAAGGCGUUGAUGGUGGGGAGUUAAAAAGCUAAACCUCCGCUCCUUUAAUUCCCACCACCUUCGUUCGCCAAAAAUUAUACAUGAGCCAAAUUUUGCCCCUGUUUUUCUCCAUUUCAAACUAAAACCUCGUCCCACCAUUCAAAAACCCUAAUCUCGUGCUCCAAAUUAAUACUAGUACUAGUAUUCCACAACCACCCCCAAAAUUUGAAUACACGGCUCUUUCUACGGGAAAAGGGGGAGAGCUCAAGCGCACCUCAAUCGCCGUUCAUGGAGCCCUCUCACGGCCAUAGCCCCCUCCCCCUCAACGAGAACGACUCCCAGGACAUGGUCCUCUUCGAGGUCCUCCGCGAGGCCUCCGCCAUG